UACGAAGGGGGCUAGCGUUGCUCGGAAUGACUGGGCGUAAAGGGCGCGUAGGCGGCUUGCACAGUCAGGCGUGAAAUUCCUGGGCUCAACCUGGGGGCUGCGUUUGAUACGUGCAGACUUGAGUUCGGAAGAGGGUCGUGGAAUUCCCAGUGUAGAGGUGAAAUUCGUAGAUAUUGGGAAGAACACCAGUGGCGAAGGCGGCGACCUGGUCCGAUACUGACGCUGAGGCGCGAAAGCGUGGGGAGCAAACAGG
rnacentral:rRNA from 1 species